GAAGAACUCACUUGGAUUUUUCAAACGUGUAUUUGGCAAUCUUAACACAAAUCUACAUCUGAUGUAGAUUUGUGUUAAGAUUGCCAAAUACACGUUUGAAAAAUCCAAGUGAGUGC
rnacentral:miRNA from 1 species